UAGGGAAUCUUCCACAAUGGGCGCAAGCCUGAUGGAGCAACACCGCGUGAGUGAAGAAGGGUUUCGGCUCGUUAAAGCUCUGUUGUUAAAGAAGAACACGUAUGAGAGUAACUGUUCAUACGUUGACGGUAUUUAACCAGAAAGUCACGGCUAACUACGUGCCAG
rnacentral:rRNA from 1 species